GGUGAAUUUUUUUUUCUGAGGAAGUCCAUGCUAGCACAGGCUGUGAUGCCUGUAGUGUUUGUGCUAGGCGAAACCAUAAGCCUAGGGACGAGAGAUCGUUACGGCAGUCGAAAUGGCUAAGUCUUCGGAUAGGUCAGAGUAGGCUUGAAAGUGCCACAGUGACGGAGUCUCUCUGGAAACGGAGAGAGUGGAACGCGGUAAACCCCUCAAGCUAGCAACCC
rnacentral:misc_RNA from 1 species